GACAGAGGGUGCGAGCGUUGUUCGGAAUUACUGGGCGUAAAGCGCAUGUAGGUGGUGAAGCAUGUCAAGUGUGAAAUCCCCCGGCUUAACCGGGGAAGUGCACUCGAAACUGCUUUGCUAGAGUUCGGAAGAGGAAGGUGGAAUUCCAGGAGUAGAGGUGAAAUUCGUAGAUAUCUGGAGGAACACCCGUGGCGAAGGCGGCCUUCUGGUCCGUUACUGACACUGAGAUGCGAAAGCGUGGGGAG
rnacentral:rRNA from 1 species